AACAGACGAGGAGCUUGCUCCUCUGACGUUAGCGGCGGACGGGUGAGUAACACGUGGAUAACCUACCUAUAAGACUGGGAUAACUCCGGGAAACCGGAGCUAAUACCGGAUAAUAUAUUGAACCGCAUGGUUCAAUAGUGAAAGACGGUUUUGCUGUCACUUAUAGAUGGAUCCGCGCCGCAUUAGCUAGUUGGUAAGGUAACGGCUUACCAAGGCAACGAUGCGUAGCCGACCUGAGAGGGUGAUCGGCCACACUGGAACUGAGACACGGUCCAGACUCCUACGGGAGGCAGCAGUAGGGAAUCUUCCGCAAUGGGCGAAAGCCUGACGGAGCAACGCCGCGUGAGUGAUGAAGGUCUUCGGAUCGUAAAACUCUGUUAUUAGGGAAGAACAAAUGUGUAAGUAACUAUGCACGUCUUGACGGUACCUAGUCAGAAAGCCACGGCUAACUACGUGCCAGCAGCCGCGGUAAUACGUAGGUGGCAAGCGUUAUCCGGAAUUAUUGGGCGUAAAGCGCGCGUAGGCGGUUUUUUAAGUCUGAUGUGAAAGCCCACGGCUCAACCGUGGAGGGUCAUUGGAAACUGGAAAACUUGAGUGCAGAAGAGGAAAGUGGAAUUCCAUGUGUAGCGGUGAAAUGCGCAGAGAUAUGGAGGAACACCAGCGGCGAAGGCGACUUUCUGGUCUGUAACUGACGCUGAUGUGCGAAAGCGUGGGGAUCAAACAGG
rnacentral:rRNA from 1 species